rnacentral:rRNA from 1 species
GAUGAACGCUGGCGGCGUGCCUAAUACAUGCAAGUCGAGCGAACGGACGAGAAGCUUGCUUCUCUGAUGCUAGCGGCGGACGGGUGAGUAACACGUGGAUAACCUACCUAUAAGACUGGGAUAACUUCGGGAAACCGGAGCUAAUACCGGAUAAUAUUUUGAACCGCAUGGUUCAAAAGUGAAAGACGGUCUUGCCGUCACUUAUAGAUGGAUCCGCGCUGCAUUAGCUAGUUGGUAAGGUAACGGCUUACCAAGGCAACGAUGCAUAGCCGACCUGAGAGGGUGAUCGGCCACACUGGAACUGAGACACGGUCCAGACUCCUACGGGAGGCAGCAGUAGGGAAUCUUCCGCAAUGGGCGAAAGCCUGACGGAGCAACGCCGCGUGAGUGAUGAAGGUCUUCGGAUCGUAAAACUCUGUUAUUAGGGAAGAACAUAUGUGUAAGUAACUGUGCACAUCUUGACGGUACCUAAUCAGAAAGCCACGGCUAACUACGUGCCAGCAGCCGCGGUAAUACGUAGGUGGCAAGCGUUAUCCGGAAUUAUUGGGCGUAAAGCGCGCGUAGGCGGUUUUUUAAGUCUGAUGUGAAAGCCCACGGCUCAACCGUGGAGGGUCAUUGGAAACUGGAAAACUUGAGUGCAGAAGAGGAAAGUGGAAUUCCAUGUGUAGCGGUGAAAUGCGCAGAGAUAUGGAGGAACACCAGUGGCGAAGGCGACUUUCUGGUCUGUAACUGACGCUGAUGUGCGAAAGCGUGGGGAUCAAACAGGAUUAGAUACCCUGGUAGUCCACGCCGUAAACGAUGAGUGCUAAGUGUUAGGGGGUUUCCGCCCCUUAGUGCUGCAGCUAACGCAUUAAGCACUCCGCCUGGGGAGUACGACCGCAAGGUUGAAACUCAAAGGAAUUGACGGGGACCCGCACAAGCGGUGGAGCAUGUGGUUUAAUUCGAAGCAACGCGAAGAACCUUACCAAAUCUUGACAUCCUUUGACAACUCUAGAGAUAGAGCUUUCCCCUUCGGGGGACAAAGUGACAGGUGGUGCAUGGUUGUCGUCAGCUCGUGUCGUGAGAUGUUGGGUUAAGUCCCGCAACGAGCGCAACCCUUAAGCUUAGUUGCCAUCAUUAAGUUGGGCACUCUAAGUUGACUGCCGGUGACAAACCGGAGGAAGGUGGGGAUGACGUCAAAUCAUCAUGCCCCUUAUGAUUUGGGCUACACACGUGCUACAAUGGACAAUACAAAGGGCAGCGAAACCGCGAGGUCAAGCAAAUCCCAUAAAGUUGUUCUCAGUUCGGAUUGUAGUCUGCAACUCGACUACAUGAAGCUGGAAUCGCUAGUAAUCGUAGAUCAGCAUGCUACGGUGAAUACGUUCCCGGGUCU